AACGAACGCUGGCGGCAUGCCUAACACAUGCAAGUCGAACGAGACCUUCGGGUCUAGUGGCGCACUCGUGCGUAACGCGUUGGAACCUGCCUUUAGGUUCGGCUUAACUCCCCGAAAGGGGUGCUAAUACCGGCUCUUGUCUUCCGUCCAAAGAUUUAUCGCCUUUGGAUGGGCUGGCGUUGUAUUACCUAGUUGUUAGGGUAAAUGCCUUCCAAUGGUACGAUCCAUAGCUGGUCAGAGAGGAAGAUCAGCCACACUGGUCGGGAGACACGGCCCAGACUACUACGGGAGGGAGCAGUGGGGAAUAUUGGAAAGUGGGCGAAAGGCUGAACCAGCAAGGACGCGUGAGUGAUGAAGGCUGGAGGGAUGUAAAGCAAGUUUACACGGGAUGAUAAUGACGGUACCAGGAGAAUAAGCUCCGGCUAACUCCGUG
rnacentral:rRNA from 1 species